rnacentral:rRNA from 1 species
GACGAACGCUGGCGGCGUGCUUAACACAUGCAAGUCGAACGGUGGAGCGCCUUCCUUUUUGGUGUGUGUGGAUGAGUGGCGAACGGGUGAGUAACAAGUUAGUAACCUGCGCCCGUCUUCUGGAUAACCGCAUGAAAGUGUCGCUAAUACGGGAUAUGCUGGGUCUGUGGCAUGAUCGGUCUGGGAACGAUAUUGUGUCGGUGGGGGAUGGGAUCGCGGCCUAUCAGCUAGUUGGUGGGGUGGUGGCCUACCAAGGCGGUGAGGGGUGGCCGGCCUGGGAGGGUGAGUGAUCACACAGGGAAUGAGAGACCGCGAAGCCUACUGCGGGCGGCAGCAGGGGGGAUUAGUGCACAGGCGGCGCAAGGCUGAUGCCGUGACGCGGCGUGAGGGAUGGAGGCCGUAGGGUUGUGAACCUCAUGCGGGAGUGAAGCAGGGUUGGCUAGUUUGUGGGUGGGUUGACGUUAGCUGGAUAAGAAGCGCCGGCUAACUACGUG